AAAAAUACAAAAAAAGCCGGCGUAGGGCGAGCCUAGUCCAGCUGCCGGAUGCUGAGGCAGGAGAAUGGCGUGAACCCAGGAGGUGGAGGUUGCAGUGAGCCAAGAUUGUGCCACUGCACCCCAGCCUGGGCGACAGACCAAGACUCUGUCUCAAAAAAAAAAAAAAAAAGUAAGACAUCGUACAAAGCAACUUGCCUAAACUCCAAAAAAACCCAAAAAAAAAAAACAAAAAAAAUGUCGACCAGGUGUGGUGGCUCAAGCCUAUAAUCCCAGCACUUUGGAAGGCUGAGGUGGGUGGAUCACCUGAGGUCGGGGGUUCGAGACCAGCCUGACCAACAUGGAGAAACCCUGUCUCUACUAAAAAUACACAAUUAGCCAGGCGUGGUGGUGCAUGCCUUUAAUCCCAGCUACUCAGGAGGCUGAAGCAGGAGAAUCGCUUGAACCCAGAAGGCGGAGGUUGCGGUAAGCCGAGACUGCACCAUUGCACUCCAGCCCAGGCAACAAGAGUGAAACUCCAUCUCAACUUAAAAAAAAAAAAAAAAAAAAGUCAAUUUCAUGAAACAAGGCAGGGGAACUGUUCUAGAUUAAAGGUGAUUUAAGAGACAUGAUAAUUAAUUGCAUAUUAAUCCUUCAUUGGAUUCUAGGUUUAUUUUUUUCUGAGAGCCCAGUGUGUAUAAGAGACAGGUUCUGUGGGGGUUGGCAAGAAGAGGGACUGGUCCUGGAUGUGGGAAGGAGAGGGAGCCAGUACUGCCCAGGCCCUGGAGUAUACGAGAAGCAAAGGAGAUGGCAUAUGCCUUCACUGGGUGCUAUUUUUCUUCAGUCUUAUAAUGAAAACAAGAGUUCUGAUGGAGGGAUGGGCAAAGGGAUAACCGCAAACAGGGCACACCGAUUCAGAGGCAAAUCCAAAGUACCAAAUUGAAGCAAUCAGAAGAGAACUUCCACAAGUUCCCACCACUGCCUCACACACCUCCCUGCAUCUGGGCCCAAUAAUUCUGCUUUCCCUGUUGUACCUAUGAGCGAACCCUCAACCCCCUGGCAAAGACUCCAGCUGUCCCUGCGCACACCAUCCAGCUCUCUCCCACUCAGGACUUCACUUCAGCCACUCUGGCCUCUCUGAGUCAUACCCAUCAGCAGGACACAUGCUGCUAUUCCUCCCAGCUAUACAAGAGCCCUUCCUGUCUCACCUCCCAUUCCAGCCACCCCUCCUUCUUCCUUUACAGCAAAACUCCUGCUCUCUCCUGGACCUACUCCCAUCAGGCUUGGCCCUCGCCGUUCCUCCAAACUGCUCUUGCCAACGUCACCAUUGCUGAACUUGGUGUUCAUCCCUUGUCCUCAUUACUUGAUCUUGCAGCAACAUCCAUCUGACCAGACGGCUCCCUUCCUCCUGGUAACGCCCUCUUCCAGGAGCUUCCAGGACAACACACCUGGCAGGCCAAGGCAGGUGGAUGGCUUGAGUUCCAGACCAGCCUGGCCAACAUGGUGAAAGCCUGUCUUUACUAAAAAUACAAAAAAUUACCUGGGCGUAGUGGUGAGUGCCUGUAAUCCCAGCUACUUGAGAGGCUGAGGCACAAGAAUCGCUUGAACCCGGGAGGCAGAGGUUGCAGUGAGCCGAGAUCACGCCACUGCACUCCAGCCUGGGCAACAGAGUGAGACUCUGUCUCCAAAAAAAAAAAAAAAGUAAUAAGAAACAGGUAAAAUUAUUAUUAUUAUUAUUAUUAUUAUUAUUAUUAUUAUUAUUAUUUUUGAGAUGGAGUCUCUCGCUCUGUCACCUAGGCUGGAGUGCAGUGGCAUGAUCUCAGCUCACUGCAACCUCUGCCUCUGGGUUCAAGUGAUUCUCCUGCCUCAGCCUCCCAAGUGGUUGGGACUACAGGGAUGCACCACCAUGCCCAGAUAAUUUUUGUAUUUUUAGUAGAGACGGGAUUUCAGCAUGUUGGCCAGGCUGGUCUCAAACUCCUGACCUCAGGUGAUCCGUUGCCUUAGACUCCCAAAGUUCUGGGGUUAUAGGCAUGAGCCACUGUACCCAGCCAGUGAAAUUAAUUUUAAUUACAUUUUAUUUAUCCCAAUGCAGCCAAUUAGUAUCAUUUAAACAUGUAAUCAAUAAAAAAUGAAUGAAAUAUUUUGAAAUAUUAAUGAAAUAUUUUAGUUUUUGUACUAAAUAUUUGAAAUCCAUUAUAUCUUUUUCACUUAAAGCUCAUCUCAAUUUAGAUGCUAGAU
rnacentral:lncRNA from 1 species